UAUGUCUGUCCUGUUCCAAUGCUUGGGAAAUCGUGUUUUGUUUUGUUUUUUCUGUGCUUCUCCUGGAGAGAGGCAGGAGUUUCAGAGCUUGAAUAUUCCCUGCAGCAAGCAAUGGUUUCCAACGCCCCCAAUCCUCUCCUUUGAACAUGAAUUCUGACUCCACUCCAAGCAAUAUUUCUUCCUUUUAAGAGACUAGCAGGGAAGGUAAUAUGUCUUCAGUGCACAGUUGGAAAUCACUCAUCAUACCAAGACCCAGGAAAAGCACAACUUCAAUGAGAGAAGACAAGCAAACAAUGCUGACACUGAGGAAAAAAGGGGCUGAGAAGAGAGAUGCCUAGAUCCUUUCCAAGGUCAGCCAAGUAGAAAAUGUCAGAAUCCAGACUGGAACCCAG